rnacentral:rRNA from 1 species
AUCCAGCCAUCCCGCGUGUGCGAUGAAGGCCUUCGGGUUGUAAAGCACUUUUGGCAGGAAAGAAACGUCAUGGGUUAAUACCCCGUGAAACUGACGGUACCUGCAGAAUAAGCACCGGCUAACUACGUGCCAGCAGCCGCGGUAAUACGUAGGGUGCAAGCGUUAAUCGGAAUUACUGGGCGUAAAGCGUGCGCAGGCGGUUCGGAAAGAAAGAUGUGAAAUCCCAGAGCUUAACUUUGGAACUGCAUUUUUAACUACCGAGCUAGAGUGUGUCAGAGGGAGGUGGAAUUCCGCGUGUAGCAGUGAAAUGCGUAGAUAUGCGGAGGAACACCGAUGGCGAAGGCAGCCUCCUGGGAUAACACUGACGCUCAUGCACGAAAGCGUGGGGAGCAAACAGGAUUAGAUACCCUG